rnacentral:lncRNA from 1 species
CUGAGUUGCACGGGUUUGCAUUGCUUGGCUUUUGUGCGUGGAGCUGUGCUGAUUCUCCACACCCGAGUAGCUGGCCUGGAUGUGGGAGGAGAGCAGCCCUGCUUCCUGCUCCUUAGUCCAGAAGGAAAUGUUGGCUUCCAUAUUACACGUGUGGGACUGCAACAGCUGAAAGCAGGGCUGGGGGAUUCCUCGUGUGCAUCCAUCAUCUCUAAAUGCCUCUCUGCAUCCUGGUCUGAAUUCAGCAGCAAGUACAAGCAGCCUGGCUCACCGACAGCAGAUAAAGAAGAGCCAGCAUCCAAACUGGAUCCAUUUCUUUGAAGCUUAAAAAAUGGUCCGCUG